rnacentral:lncRNA from 1 species
UUCAUAAAUUUGUUUAAGAUAAGGAAAGAGUGUCUUGAUCAAAUGAAGAAGGUGUUGAACCUUUUCACCAUCACUGAUAUCAGUCUUCACCGUCCUAACCAUCCCACUGGAAUGCAGGCACAGGUUACAGUUGCAAUUUCUACGACAAAACGGGCAUAGCUCUGCAAUUUCUGUUUUUGACAUGUUGGGAUACCAUUGCUU